rnacentral:rRNA from 1 species
GAUGAACGCUAGCGGCAGGCUUAAUACAUGCAAGUUGAGGGGCAGCAUGAUAUACGCGAGUAUAUUGAUGGCGACCGGCGGACGGGUGAGUAAUAGGUAGGAGACCUACCUCAUACAGGGGGAUAGCAUAGAGAAAUCUGUGGUAAUACCCCAUGAGGUUAUAUGAAUAGAGGCAUAUAAUCAAAGCAUAAGCGAUUAUGCGGUAUGAGAGGGGCCUACUGACCAUUAGCUAGUUGGUGAGGUAAGGGCUCACCAAGGCGAAGAUGGUUAGGGGUUUUGAGAGAGAGACCCCCCACAUUGGAACUGAGAGACGGUCCAGACUCCUACGGGAGGCAGCAGUAGGGAAUAUUGGGCAAUGGGCGAAAGCCUGACCCAGCCAUGCCGCGUGAAGGAAGACGGCCUUAUGGGGUUGUAAACUUCUUUACUACGCGAAUAGAGGUUAGUACGAGAUACUAAUAGGAAGGUAGUGUAGUAAAAGCACCGGCUAACUCCGU